UGGGGGAUAUUGCACAAUGGGCGAAAGCCUGAUGCAGCGACGCCGCGUGGGGGAUGAAGGCUUUCGGGUUGUAAACCUCUUUCGCUAUCGAACAAGGCCCGCUUAGGGUGGGUUGAGGGUAGGUGGAGAAGAAGCGCCGGCUAACUACGUGCUAGCAGCCGCGGUAAUACGUAGGGCGCAAGCGUUGUCCGGAAUUAUUGGGCGUAAAGGGCUUGUAGGCGGCUUGUUGCGCCUGCUGUGAAAACGCGGGGCUUAACUUCGCGCGUGCAGUGGGUACGGGCAGGCUUGAGUGUGGUAGGGGUGACUGGAAUUCCAGGUGUAGCGGUGGAAUGCGCAGAUAUCUGGAGGAACACCGAUGGCGAAGGCAGGUCACUGGGCCAUUACUGACGCUGAGGAGCGAAAGCAUGGGUAGCGAACAGG
rnacentral:rRNA from 1 species